GGCUCCGUGGCUCAGUGGAAAGAGCCUGGGCUUAGGACUCAGAGGUCAUGGGUUCGACUCCCGGCUCUGCCA
rnacentral:tRNA from 1 species